UCCAACAUCAAAGAAAGUAAAAUGUUAUUAUCAGGAGAGGGAGAAUGUUUAAGUGGUUAGCAGCAGUGUGCUAGCCGAUGGCCCCCUCCAUGAGGCCACCACAGCUCAGCAGAACAUCGUUGUAGCUUCUUCUGGAGAGAAAAACACUUAGAGAGAAAAUAAAGUUAACAGCUGAAAUAGCAGGAAAUAAUACAGUUAAAGAGCAGAUUGUAGAAGAAAGAAACCCCUGGGUUAAACUGGUCUGUCUACUGCAUAAUGCUGAACUCUAACAUGUGUCCUAAGGGAAGGACCUGAUUGGUGUCCAGAACCUGCUGAAGAAGCACCAGGCUCUGCAGGCUGAGAUCACAGGUCAUGAACCUCGCAUCAAGGCUGUCACCCAGAAAGGAGAGACCAUGGUGGAAGAAGGUCACUUCGCUGGUGAGGAAGUGAAGACUAAACUGUGGGAGCUUCAUGGACGUUGGGACACGCUGAAGGCCAAGGCGUCCCAGAGGAGGCAGGACCUGGAGGACUCUCUGCAGGCCCAGCAGUACUUUGCGGAUGCUAAUGAGGCCGAGUCCUGGAUGAGGGAGAAGGAGCCCAUCGUUGGAAGUCCAGACUAAGGGAAAGACGAGGACUUGGCCGAGGCUCUCCUGAAGAAGCACGAGGCCCUGAUGUCGGACCUGUCGGCUUACGGCAGCAGCAUCCAGGCCCUGAAGGAGCAGGCCCAGUCCUGCAGGCAACAAGGUGAUCAGCAGGUGCUUUUGUCCUGCAGGACCUGAAGGCCAACGAGUCCCGCCUGAGGGACAUCAACAAGGUGGCAUCUGAACUGGAGUCAGAAGGUCUGAUGGCUGAGGAGGCUCCUAUGGUUCAGGCUCAGCAACAAGAACAUCUGGGUUCUGCUCCUGGAAAGGAUGAAGCCGACUCUAACACGGCGUCACCCUGGAAGGUGAGUUCAUUCAGCUGAUCAGAGGUCACCUCUGAUGGCCGCAGUCACGGCCGACCGUGCUGACAUCACACAGGAUUUCAGGUGACCCGGCAGGCACCAGGUUUUGGUGAAAGUGGGGACAUGUCAGCUGGUUGCCAUGGCUAGUUAUCUUUAUGCAUCUGUAUGACUGCUGACUGUUGUGUGUUUCCUGUGACCUUUGACCUCAGACCGUACGGUUGGGCGUUCAGACGACGGCUAACUUUAAUUCCAUCAAGGUAAGAGGAAGCUCUUCCCUUCCUGUCUGAGCGAUCCGUCUCCAGGUUUCUUCGUCCGGCGUCCAGCCCGCUGGCGUCCACCUUCAUCUCACCUUCAUCUCAUCUCACUUCAUUUAUAGUGCAAUACUUUCACAUUAUCAUUUUCCCACACUUCUGUAUACCUGUAUUUUGUUGUUUUUCAAUAAAGAAUGACAAAUUAUUUAAGUUUGGUUUUUGUUGCACACAAAUAUAUAUCUGUAAAAAAAUAUCUACAAAGCUAAUGUUUACAUAACAAGUAUGAUUGGGUUUUGCAAUACGGCACUCAAGUUUAUUUUAGUAAGAUUUUCAAACCAAGUAAAGUUAGUAAAGAACACAUUUCUAUUGUCUGCUAAGAAACUGUUGGGAUUUAAAAUGGGCCUGUUGUACAAAUAACUUGUAAAUGAUUAUUCCUCACUUUUGUCUUAACCAAAGAAAUUCCAGUAAUUGAGCAAAAACAUUUAUUUUUAACACUACAUUUUAUAAAACAGGGCGCAAAGUGUCGGCACAUGUAUGUAAGUCGAUGGUCCGCCCCAACCAAACCAAGAGACACAGACGUCAGGGAGGCCAAGGUUGUCUCUGCAGCUCUCUGGGCACCACGCCUCACUCAGCUGUCUCCAAUGAUCCAAAUGGCUAUGGAGAAAAAAUAACAGGUUUGGCCUAGCUGUUUAAAGUACAAAACCAUUCAUGAAGUGGUCAAGACAAGUACUUGGAACUUACACGCUGCGUUGUGUAGCUGACGUUGGAGACACACAGGCCGCCAUGGUGACCUUUUAAUAGAUCUAAGAAAAAAAUGUAAUAAAAGAAUGAAACUUAAAAACUCCCAGACCUCAUGUCAUAUUUACUAAUCAGCUAUGGCUGAUUUGUUUGGAUCACAGUGAGUUACACUAAUUCUAAUAUAUUUUUAUUUCUAUUAUACAUACAUACUUUUUAACUGUUAUUUUCACAUGACUGUUAUCAGGCUCUCUUGUUCUGGUUCUGAUGAUAACUCUGUGUCUUCCAGUAAGUUAUCUUGUGCUUACUUCAUCUGUAUAAUGUCUCUUUACUUUUGGUAAAUUGUACUGAGUCCAGAAUAAAGGCUAGCUGGCUGUACAAGAUACAAACAAGUAUUACGUUUUGGAAAUAUAUGAAACACCGCCAGCAUCUGUUAGAGCCUGUGGCGGGGUGCUGAGGGCCGGCUCCAGCCCAGGAAUGAGCUCUACACGCCGGCCGGGAGGGUUUGAAACACCGCCAUCCUCUCCUCUGCUGGCUGUAAAUUCUGUUAUGGUUACCGGUGCUUGUGUUGCAAUGUGAAACGCUUGGUCUCAGAUUUUGUAAGAAAGAUAAUAAAAUGUCCCCCCAAAAUACGA